rnacentral:rRNA from 1 species
UACGGAGGGUGCAAGCGUUAUCCGGAUUCACUGGGUUUAAAGGGAUCGUAGGUGGGUUGGUAAGUCAGUGGUGAAAUCCCCGAGCUUAACUUGGGAACUGCCAUUGAUACUAUCAGUCUUGAAUACUGUGGAGGUUAGCGGAAUAUGUCAUGUAGCGGUGAAAUGCUUAGAUAUGACAUAGAGCACCAAUUGCGAAGGCAGCUGGCUACACAAUUAUUGACACUGAGGCUCGAAAGCGUGGGGAUCAAACAGG